AUGCUGGGCCCCAGACUUCCCAUCUGUAAAAGGAACAGGAUAGAUGAGACAGACACCCUCUGGUCCUCUUUAUGGAAGAGGAAACUGAGGCCGGGAGAGAUGAAGAUGAAGGUUCUCUCUGCCUCGAGCCAAGGCAACAAGAGUCCGUCGUGCCUACUAUGUGCCAAGAGAGGAAAAAAAGGCAAAAGACAGUCCCUGGUGUUUGGGAAUUCCCAGUCCAAGGCGGGCGCCAACCUCUGUGGAAUGAGCUGGAGUCAGAAUAAAUGGGACCUCAUCAGUGGGCAGCUGCUCCCUGUCUCCCUAUCUCUGUUCUGGCUCCAGCACUCCAGGCCCCCUUCUCACAGAAGCAGGCGGAACAUCUGGAGCUUUCCUUUCCUCUCCACCCUGGCCUCGACCUCCAUUCUAGGCUUCCGAGGAAUUGGACGUCUCCUAAAGGGAGUGGUGAGCCCGGAGAGCAGGCCUAGCUUCACUGAAAACAGGUCAGGUCAGACUGACCUCAUUGCCUUUUUCCAACAGGGUCACUAGGCUCACCAGUCUAGACCAGACUAGGAAUAUUUAGACACAGCUCACCUGGGUUUUUAGUAAAGCGUUUGGCAAAGUCUCCUGCCGAGCAUCCAGAAAAGAUGGAGAGACGUGGGCUAGAGAUAAUAGAGAAGCUGCCAGGGUUCAGUUGUGUCUGAUUCUUGGGGACCCCAUUUGGGGUUUUCUUGACACUGAAGAGGUUUGCCAUUUCCUUCUUGAGCUUGUUUGACAGAUGAGGAAACUGAGGCAAAUGGGUCAAAGUGAUUUGCCUAGGGUCACACAGUUGGGAAAUGUCUGAGGUCAAAUUUGAACUCAGGUCUCUCUGACUCUAGAUUCAAAGUAGAGUUAAGUUGAUCCAAAACUGCUUGACUGACCCCAACCUAAAGAGUCAUCACUAAUGAAUUUGAAGUCUUGUCAAAAAAAGACUUCUUCUAGAAUGCCCUAAAGGAUCAUUGAUUUAGAACAAGAAAGGACCUUAGAGAUCAUCCACCUCAAUUUACGGAGCAAGAAACUCAGGCACAGAGACAUUGUGACUUGCCAGGGUUAUCAAGCUAGUAAAAUUUGAACCCAGGUCUUCCUGACUCCCAAGCCCAAACCCUAACCACUGUACCAUGGGCUCUCUAUUUGGCCGAGUGUGGUUUAACAUUUUCCUCCAUUACUGGGAUAAAGGAAUACACUGUCUAUCAGAUCUGCCAAUCCAGGAAGGACCAUGAACAUAGUCAGGAUGCCAACAGGUUAGACAGCCAGCAGAAUCCCAGAAGAUGCUGAAAGUGGUCCUCUGCACACUCUCCCUAAGCAGCUGCACGGCUCCACCCAUCAUAUCUCUUUAGGUGCCUCCACCCCAUUCCCUUAUCUCUCUCUCUCUCUCUCUCUCUCUCUCUCUCUCUCUCUCUCUCUCUCUCUCUCUCUGUCUGUCUCUCUGUCUCUCUCUGUCUCUCUCUCUCUGUCUCUCUGUCUCUCUCCNNNNNNNNNNNNNNNNNNNNNNGUCAGAAGUUUUAUUCUA
rnacentral:lncRNA from 1 species